GGUUAAACUGGGAAAACAUUGGGGAAUUCCUGAGUCUCUCUAUUUGCCAAACUCACCCAAACCUGUGCUAGGAAGAGGUGGACUGGAGUCCCUGAUCCCCUGGGCAGUUGUCCUGCAUGACCUGGGAGCCUCUGGAUUUGAGUGGCCUGGGCAGACAGGGAGCAGUUUGUCCUGUGGAGCUGGGCUGGGUUUGUUCAGGAUGCCUUGGGAGGCAGGGCUGGAGAGGCUCCUCUGUUGGCUGUAGUGCUGGAAGGUUGUAGCAGCAGGGCUGGAGCCCUUGGACCUCCUGCUCCCCCGUGAGCCCCGACGGGACCGUGCCCUUGGCAAGGGAGGGCCCCCCAUUGCUGAGCCAGCGGUUCCGGGGCCAGGAGGGAUGGGAUCAGGAUGCCCAGCUCCACCCAGGGCCAGGGCUGCCAGUGUUCAACCAUGGAGGGAACUGAAAGCAGAGUGAGAUGGAGACCAAGCUCCAGCACAGGGAUGGGUGAGAAAAGAUCCUGGUCCUCAGGUGGAGCUUUGAAUUCCUUGGAAAAUGGAUCCUGUCAGAUGGUUCAGGCCCUCGUGGGUGCUGGAGCAGAGGCCUCUGUGAUUUAUGGUCACCCUGAAAGGUUGCAAGGACAGCAAGUUUUGACUGCAGGAUGAGGUGGCAAACCAAGUGAAGUGGUGCAGAGAAGAGCUGAGGCUGAAACUGGUCCUGUGGCAGAGCAGCCUCGUGCAGUGCUUGUUGCUGUCCCUGAGUGUCCCAUUGCAGUGGAUAUUUCCAAGGGGGCCUUGUGCUGGGGAACACUGGGGGCAGUUCCCUUUCCCUGGGCAGGGCAGGCAGGGCACGUUUCCCCCCUCGAGGGUGGCUCCACAGUCCCCCCCUGUGCCCUGGGAGCGUGGCAGAACACCUGGACCCACUGUCCUUGUCAGAGAGGGCAUGAGGGAUGGUUGGGUGGGUGAGGGAAUGGUUCAGGGAGUACAAGCACCAUUAGAAUGAGUAGUGCAGCACCUGGAAAGGAAGGGGGGAGUUAAUCCAGACCAAAUCCAAGCACCUGCCCAACCUGUGAUAUUUUUAGGAACUCAGAGGUGCUGUGGUCCCCAGGAAGUGUUGCCCAGGACUAGGCAGGAGACUUCAGGCUUGGUCACCCCCAGAGCCAGGUGGCAGCCCAGCAGUUUAUUGGUUGGUUUGGCUUUUGGUGACAACAAGGUCCUCCUUUGGGAUCAAUCCUUGGCCUGGGCCAUGAAGUCCCAGGACAGAUCUGUGAGUUUGAGUGGGAAAUGAGCAGCAGGGAGGGUUGGAGACAGCUCAGGGAGCAAUUCAACAGGCUCAGGACCUGUGGCCAAUCUGAGCCAGGGAGGGGGAACUGAAGGUUCCUACCAGUGGUAAUGGUGCCAGUUGUAGCCUCUGGCAGAAGUAGGGUGGGAAGGAAGUGCCUUUAGGAUUUGGGAAUAGGAAGUUACUGGAAGCCAGCCCAAGGUAGCCCCUGUUGGAGAAGGGGCUCUGAGUAUGUUCUUGGGCUUUAGUGGAAAUCCCCAGAAGGCCGUGGGUACAAAGCUCCUCCAGGGUGCACAGGCCAGGCCCUGCUCAGGAAGGCAGCACCAUGGAAUGGAGAUGGUGUAUCCAAGCCAGAGCCAGAGCAGGGGUCGGGGCAGGAGCGAGGCCUCGGGAGGGAGUUGCCAACAGCCCUGUGGUUGAAGCAACAAGUGUAGAUCCCCUGGACAGUGAGCACAAAUCACUGGGAAAUGGGGAAAAGCCCCAGAGCAAGUGCUGGGAGCAGAGAGGGAGCAUGCCUGGCUCACUGCUGGGUCAGCCCCAUCUGUCAGUGGGAAGCACUUUGGGAAAGCAGGAGCUUAUAACCCGUGCCAGAGGGGGGAGGCAAAAGUCGUCCAUGAGCUGCAUGAGAUGCCCCACCUGUGGGAAUGAAACAGGACCAUGGGAAUAUGUUGGUGUGAAUAACUGUUAGUGGAGGGAAUGCCAUUGCCAUGUUUGAGCUUGAUGUCUUACAGAGACUGUGGGUCCUGGCCAUCCUCAGAGCCCUUGUGGUCCCUCUGGGCGAUGCUGUUGGCCCGGGCAGUGCCCUGGGAAAGGUGCCUGGGUCGGGUGCCUUGGUUUGAUUUGGAUGGAGAUGGAAAAGCAGCUCCAAACCAGGCCCCCAGGACAAGGUGCCCCGGGCAGCAAAUGGCCCUUGGCCAGGGAAAGAAAGGAGGCACAGACUGACCUAACGAGUACCAAUGAACUGACCUGGAGGACUGGAUUCACAUCCUGGAUUGCAAAAAUUAACUGGAUUUUAUCUCCUGAAUCACUGCAGGGCAUCGACUGAUGUUGUGCUGGAAAAAUAACACACUUCAGGGUAAGUCAACCAGGGAGUUUUUGUAGGUAAGAGCAAAUUAUUGCCCUGCAACUUUGAAAGAAGCCUUGACUCGAUCACCAACUGCAAGCAGUAAAUAUAGGGGUCAAUGAGUGACCUUUGGGCAUUAGGUAGAACAACUCCCUGCUCCCCACUGGUGGGACACAUUUACAGCAUUCUCACCAUCUGCUCCCACGUUUUUGAACACUUGAAUCCAUCCAGUAAUCGCAGUAAUUGUACUGAUUUUAUGCACAAAAUGGAGUUGUUGUCUAUGGGAUCCAUUCCAGGAGUUGUUUCUCGUGCGUCUCUGCCCUGCCCAGGGAUCAAAGGCCCAAAGGGAAAGGAUGAGAAGUUCCCUGAGAAUUGAGCCCCGGGGCUGCUGCCCCUGAGGAGCAGGGUAAGGGCUGUGUGUGCUCAGGGGCCACAGUUCUGUCUCUGGGGGCAAUCAGGAUGUGAGGCCUUGCUCCUUUCCUUUUGUAUCCCCUAAAUCUGUAGUUGAGGUGUUGGAUUGUGUUUGUUCAAACUGUUCCUAUUAUUCCCUGACUAAGGAGGAGUUGUGUCCUUGAGUGCCCUGCCUGUCAGCAAAACACCAGGCCCAAAGGAUCCUGGCAAGUGCAGCCCUGGAAGAGUCAGGAAGACUCAAAAAUGCCCCAGUUCUCAUGAAGCUCAACUAUGUAAAACAUUUAUGAAGCUAAAAUUCCACAGCCUUGAGCUGUUGGGUCCCAAAGAGUAGUGGAGGGAGAGGCAGAGAAUGCCCCUGCUGCUGGGGCUGAACUGUGUGCAGUGAGGGGGCAGGACUUGGCCCUGAUGCCUGAGUGCUCUCCAGCCCCCAGGCUGGAUCCCAGCUGUCAGCCCCUGGCUCCAGCCCUUGAGAAGAUGGUGUUCCUGCCAGCCCAGCUGCUGGGCUGGUGGUCCUGGGGGCACCUCCUGCCCUGGCCUGCUGGGAAGGUGUUUGUGCUGCAGCUCAAUAAAGUCCCUUUCAGUGGUGA